GACGAACGCUGGCGGCGUGCCUAACACAUGCAAGUCGAACGGAAAGGCCCUGCUUUUGUGGGGUGCUCGAGUGGCGAACGGGUGAGUAACACGUGAGUAACCUGCCCUUGACUUUGGGAUAACUUCAGGAAACUGGGGCUAAUACCGGAUAGGAGCUCCUGCUGCAUGGUGGGGGUUGGAAAGUUUCGGCGGUUGGGGAUGGACUCGCGGCUUAUCAGCUUGUUGGUGGGGUAGUGGCUUACCAAGGCUUUGACGGGUAGCCGGCCUGAGAGGGUGACCGGCCACAUUGGGACUGAGGUACGGCCCAGACUCCUACGGGAGGCAGCAGUGGGGAAUAUUGCACAAUGGGCGGAAGCCUGAUGCAGCGACGCCGCGUGCGGGAUGACGGCCUUCGGGUUGUAAACCGCUUUCGCCUGUGACGAAGCGUGAGUGACGGUAAUGGGUAAAGAAGCACCGGCUAACUACGUG
rnacentral:rRNA from 1 species